rnacentral:lncRNA from 1 species
AAAAUAUCCCAUUGCACAUGAAGAAAUACAAAUAACUUCACGAAAUCCUACUAAUCGUUAGUGGUGAUGGUAGCAGUGACAACAGCGACGAUUCCGUGAAUGCCAUGCGGCCCCGAUAGCCAGAAGCCAAAAAAGUGGUAAUAGACCCUACUUUUUUCUUUGAUUUCGUAUGAGAGUCCUAUUGUUGGUCAACUCGAAACGCCUCUGCUGAUAGAGUUAAAUAUAAUGUCUAAGUUAGAAACCGGGCAUAGACAAAUUUCGUUUUGUACUGGGAGCCAGCCGCCUGAUGGAAUACCCAUUGGCGAUACCAAACGUAAAGCUCGAAACAUAGAGAGAUUACGCAUGGUUUAGUCUCUACCACUAACCGAAGAGAGACCAGACGAGAGAAUGGCGACGCCUCAGAGAAAAAUCGAGUUCAGUAGAAGCGUCGUAAAAUGAUGGUAAUACUUCCAGUGGGUGGUAGAAGCACCUGCCACUAUAAGAUAUUCACCGAAAAUGAAACAAUGAGUGAGUUAGCUAUUUCGGCUUCCUUGAGAGACUAGCAGACCGUUGGUACAGCAAACAGAAGAUCUAAAUGUUCGAUGGCAACGCCAAUUCUUAUCGUCAUGCCUCAAUUACUACCUACAUUGAGCAAAAGAAUAUAUAACACUGGCUCUACCCCCUCCCCUAUUCUCCCGAUCCAAGUCUAUGUGAUUACGGAGCUCUUCAUGACCCAAACAGGGCAACAGCUAAACGUGAUAGGGAUCGCACUGCUCAGGUAUUUACUCCUUAUUCCUGCUCACUUGGUCAUCACGUCAAACCAAAUCGUGCGAAGGAGAUCUCCGAGGGUCAUCGGAGUAAAGGAGAGACAAGUGCGAACGCGAACGAAACAGCGCGGACAGAUAGAAACACCUCAGCAACAUCGUCAACAACGAUCAUGGAUGCAGCAGUUAUACCGGUGUGCUGUUCACGUCAGACCGUGACAUAAAGCGAUUCACCAUUAGUAACCACAUUUCUUCUUUGCGUGAAGUCUCAGAAGCCAAUAAUGUUCGACCGGAUAGGGAGCUAGGGAGAAAAUCGCUGCUAUUCGUUCACAAUAUUUACACAGUAUUAUUUCGCGUAAAGAGCAACACGACACCCACAACGACAGAUGAAGGAAAGAACGCACACAAACCUCGACGUUUCUGAAAGCAGACAUUUCUGAGACACUGAAAACCAGUGGAUUCGCACAUGAAGAUUGAAGCAGUAUCAAUGGUAAACUAGCUUAAAAGCGAACGGUAAUUCUGAAGUGCUAUCGCUCAUACAAAUCACGGGCGUUUGUACGUAGAUAUAUCUAUGAAUGGAUAGGCAAGAGUGCAGAAGUUUACGAUGUGACAUUUCUAGAACGCGAUAGAAAAUGUUACAAUGCAGAGCAUUUUUUAUACAGUGAUUUACUUCGCCCCUUAUAGGAUACGUUGGGGCUAUACGUUUAUGACUUAAAUGGGGCAUGGGCUACCGAUACUUUAUGCAGAUCCGCGACGCUCCGAUUGCCUAAAAACUUUGAGUGUAUAGAGGUUACGGCUUGUUGUUUCUCGUUGUUUCCAUUCAAGCGUGGACGCUUACGUUCUUAUUUCUAUGGAUUCUUCACACGGGCGAAGCUAAAAUAGCACGACCAAACGAGUGAACAGACUCAGAAGGUUUAUUAAUUUGAAUCUACUGAACCUUUGGUCUGAAUCUUCACUGCAUACAAGUUAUCUGGACCAGCAUUCUUCAAGUGUCUAACUAAAUGAGUCGAUUUUGUUUUUGUGGAGCUUUUAAUAAAAGUGCAAAGCUUCUCUUCAAUUAACCCGAUAGGCUAUAUAAGGUAUAUAAGUAUCAAAUACACUCUGAAUAUCUGAUUAGGAAACGAUUAGUAGUGAUCGAUA